AAUCAACGCUGGCGGCGUGCCUCAGACAUGCAAGUCGAACGAUUAAACUUUCCUUCGGGAAAGAUAUAAAGUGGCGCACGGGUGAGUAACACGUAAGUAAUCUACCUUCGAGUGGGGAAUAACGUCGGGAAACCGACGCUAAUACCGCAUAAUGCAGCGGCACCUAAUGGUGACAGUUGUUAAAGGAGCAAUUCGCUUGAAGAGGAGCUUGCGGCAGAUUAGCUAGUUGGAAGGUAACGGCUUACCAAGGCUACGAUCUGUAACCGGUCUAAGAGGACGGUCGGUCACACUGACACUGAAUAACGGGUCAGACUCCUACGGGAGGGCAGCAGUCGGGAAUUUUGGGCAAUGGGCGAAAGCCUGACCCCAGCAACGCCGCGUGAGGAUGAAGUAUUUCGGUAUGUAAACUUCGAAAGAAUGGGAAGAAUCAAUGACGGUACCAUUUAUAAGGUCCGGCUAACUACGUGCCAGCCGCCGCUGUAAG
rnacentral:rRNA from 1 species